UGACAAACUAAACAAUUAUAAGACUGGUGGAUUUGUAUGGUCAAAUAUAUUCCGAUCAAAUUAUUCGCAUACGUGUGAGAUAAAAUACGUACUUUAUCUCCUUUACUUCCUCCUACGUCGCAUCUACGCAUUCGUGCCCUACCUUCAUAAAUCAUAAGACUCUUCCAACUGUUUAAAUUCUUAAUUGAGUCGAUGAGCCACGACCGGAGAUUUAAAUAAUCACAAACCACUAAUCAUUAUUUUAAUUAAGCCUUCAUUUCCAAUGAUUAUCCUAUUUUUACUUCAAAAUAGAAAAACUCUAUAAUAGAUAAUCGACAUUUGCCGAUCCAGCGAAAUGGGCCAGGUCGAUCAAUAUAUGCUCCACGUAUUUUUUUGUUCUGCAUAAUGAUCAGGAUCGAUCGAUCCGUUCGACCUUGUAAUUUCGGAUCGAUCGAUCCCGCUUGAUAGAAUCCAUUAUUUAUUAUAUUUAAAAAUUAUAAUUUUAAGGACAUUAUUGCUAUUUUGAAAAUAAUUGGCAUAAUGAGACAUAAAGUAUAUG
rnacentral:lncRNA from 1 species